CCGAGCUAAAUGUUAUGAUUUUCGGAAAUUUUGGACUAUAGAAAUUAUUAAAGGAAAAUAGAAAAUAACGUGGAGCGAUCUGGGCCAUCCAAUUCUCCACUGCUUAAUCUCAGCCCUCGGAUUUACUUUGGAUUUUGGCUAUAAAUAGCCUUAGAUUAGAUCAGCGAUGGUGAAGUAUCGAGAAGAACCCAGCGUUCUCGCCGUUUCUACAGCUCGACGACCCGACGCUGCGAUCCAGCCGGCGCUCCACCGUCAGGCCACCUCCGGCUGGCGUACGGCCACCGAUCUCUUCCUAUGGUCGUCGCCGUCACGUUUCCGGUCACUGUUCACUCAAUCGUCGGCUGUGGAGGGAGAAUCGACGGUGAGAACAUUGAAACUUUUCUGGCGGGUUCAGUGAAUUCCGACCACCGUUUGGGCUGCAUGUGGCCAGCAAUUGAGAAGCUUGUUGAGCUGCUGGCGUGAGAAUCACCAGUUCAUCAUCAUCCUGGUCUCGGCAAGGAAUUAUGGGAAGCAGAAUGAGUUGCAGUCGAUUCUCGAAGGUAGAUUUUGACUCUUGAAUCAAGUCUUGUUCUGGUGUUAGUGAUCGGAAGUUAUGGAAUUGAGUUUGACAUGGUUUGAUUGUAAGGGACAGCUAUCUGGUUACCGAUUCUGUUAAGUUGUUGAAUUAUGGUGUUAAGAGUUUCUGUUUGGAUUAGGAAGUAAGUUGGGUUGUGAUGAAUCUGUUAAUGGUGUUGAAAUUGUGGAUUUUGAUAUACUUUGAAUGAUUUCAAUGAUUUUGGUUGUGGAGA